rnacentral:SRP_RNA from 1 species
GCCAGGCGCGGUGGCGGGCGCCUGUAAUCCCAGCUACUCGGGAGGCUGAGGCAGGAGAAUUGCUUGAACCCAGGAAGCAGAGGUUGCAGUGAGCCGAGAUCAUGCCACUGUACUCUAGCCUGGGCAACAGAGCAAGACUCCGUCUCAA